rnacentral:rRNA from 1 species
GAUGAACGCUGACAGAAUGCUUAACACAUGCCAGUCAACUUGAAUUUGGGUUUUUAACUUAGGUUUGGGUGGCGGACGGGUGAGUAACGCGUAAAGAACUUGCCUCACAGCUAGGGACAACAUUUGGAAACGAAUGCUAAUACCUAAUAUUAUGAUAAUAGGGCAUCCUAUAAUUAUGAAAGCUAUAAGCGCUGUGAGAGAGCUUUGCGUCCCAUUAGCUAGUUGGAGAGGUAACGGCUCACCAAGGCGAUGAUGGGUAGCCGGCCUGAGAGGGUGAUCGGCCAAAAGGGGACUGAGACACGGCCCUUACUCCUACGGGAGGCAGCAGUGGGGAAUAUUGGACAAUGGACCGAGAGUCUGAUCCAGCAAUUCUGUGUGCACGAUGAAGUUUUUCGGAAUGUAAAGUGCUUUCAGUUGGGAAGAAACAAAUGACGGUACCAACAGAAGAAGUGACGGCUAAAUACGUG